AUGCCAAGGCGGCACCGCCCCGCCGUGGCUCGCACUUCCACCCCCAUGGUUGAUGGUCGAAAAUCUAGCGGAAAUUGCCAAAUCGGCCAGAGCGAGAGGCGUGGCAAUCGUCGGAGCGCCCGCUCCAAGCAACCUUCCACCCCCAUGGAGGGGCUAAAACCUAGGAAAAAUUGCCAAAUCGGCCAGAGCGAGGGGCGUGGCAACCAUCGGGCCGCCGGAUCCAAGCAAGCGACGGCCGAGAUCUCCCCAGGGUGCUGCGUGCACUGCCCCGCGGCGGCGGCGGCUCCGGCUCGGACGCAAGGCCGCCCAAAAGCGGAGCAGGAUCGCCCCCGACGCGUCCGUGGGCAAAAUUGGCAGGCCGCGCCCGCGCCGAAGUGGCCCAAACCCCCCCAUAAAUCGCCCGCCGAUUCCAAACACCGCUCCACUCCACCACCCCCUCGCAAGGCCGAGCCACAGAGAGCCGCACCGAAAUCGCGUCCCGUCGUGCAAAGGGAGCGGGGGGUUGGGAGCGGGACAAAUCUCCCUCGUCAGCACCUCCACCACCACCGUCCACCGCCACCCCGCUCUCGCCCCCUCCAGCCUCGCCCCUCGCGUGGGAGGGACGCCGUGUCCUCCUGCCCCCACCGCGCCGCGCGGGGAAACCCUAGCGGCUGCAGAUCUCCGGGCAGGCGCCCCGAUCCGGGCGGCCCGCGCCCCGAUUCGGCCCUCCCGGCGCCUCAAAUGGCGGCGGACGGGGCGGACAGCGACCUUGAGGAGCAACUCAAGGAUGUCGGCGCCCGCCUGCAGGAGGCGCCCGACGACUCCGACGGCCUGCUCAAGCUCCUCUACGACGUCGAGAAAUAUCUGUUGAGAGUGGAGCAAUCACCUGCAGCAAGCACAUUUGCUGCUGUUCGCCCAGCAAUGGAUGCCCUGAUCAAGAACGAACUUUUGACUCACCCUAAUGCCGAGGUCAAACUUGCUAUAGCAUCUUGUAUAUCUGAGGUUACAAGGAUCACUGCACCCGAGGCUCCGUAUGAUGACAAUAUUAUGAGGGAUUUGUUUUCCAUAAUUGUGGGGACUUUUCAGAAUUUAGAUGAUAUUGAGAGCCCGUCCUUUGCAAGGAGGAUUUCAAUUCUCGAGACUGUGGCAAAGGUCCGGUCGUGUGUGGUCAUGUUAGACCUUGAGUUGGAUGAUCUGAUUCUGCAGAUGUUUAACCAUUUUUUCACAACUGUGACAUCAAACCAACCAGAAAUUGUCAUAUCAUCUAUGGUAACAACAAUGAAACUUGUAAUAGAUGAGAGUGAAGAAAUACAGACAGCGCUUGCAUCGUAUCUUCUUCAAAAGGCUAGAAAUGAGGAGAGGGAAACGUCUCCAGCAUCUUUUGAACUUGCAGAGAAGGUGAUCAGCUCAUGUGAAGAUGGGAAGCUAAAACCAAUAUUCCUGCAGUUACUUCAAGUUCAAGGCACUCCCUUGGAUGACUACAGCAAAAUUGUCACGCUGGUUUGUGAAGGUGAUAAGGUUGUCAGGGAAGACAACAAUGUUGAUCCUUCUGGAAAGGACACGGUGGAUGAUGGCAAACUUUCGGAAAGGACUAUUUCUGAUGAACUGCCUCAGGAAUCUUCAAAACUGGAGCAAGAUGGUACUCCGACUACUGCUAUUAGUAGUGGUGCAACUCUGGUUGAUCAUGGUGAGGCUAAUCAAGGACCAUUUUCUCCAAAAGGACAAGCGUCUCCAAAGGGAUCAGCGUCUCCAAAGGGAUCAGCGUCUCCAAAGGGACCAGUGUCUCCAAAAGGACCGGUGUCACCAAAAGGAUCAGCGUCACCAAAAGGGAAGCCUGAACAGCCUGAAGACACAAAAGAUGCUGAUCAGUUGAAAUCUGCUAAUGAUGGUGUAGAACCUGUUGAUGCAAAGCCCAAGAAGCCAUCUGAUCUUGAUUCAGACAAAGACCUGAAGCUCAAACCCUGCAAGUCUGUGGCUACUCCACACUCUAAUGUUGAUGUUGACAAAGAAGCUCAUGUAGUAUCUGGAGAGUUAUCUGCAGACAAGAAGGUAGUCAAUGGAGUGGCUGAUAAUGUACCAAAGCGUGCUGAUACCACACCCGAUGUAGUUAAGCCAAAACGAGGCCGACCUCCUGGACCAAAGUCAUCAGAGAAAAAGGCUGCUAGAAAUAACCAAUCUUCAGAUUUAGAUUUGAAGAAGACUGAGGAGGCUAUGGAUUCAACUGGGAAGUUAACAAAGCGAUCAGCUAAGGAUGAUAUCAAAGCUUCCACAAAAAAGACUGGUGAAGGAGAAUCAUCAAAGAAGCAGCAAAAACCCAGUUUGAAACAGCACAAGGAAGAAGUCCUCUCUGAGGAGGACACCACCAAGGAUAUGACUCUAAAGGAAAUGGUCUCUCCGAAGUCUCUGACCAAGGGGUCAGGUAGAACCAAGGGUCAAAGUGGGGAGAAUAAUGUGGUGAAGAGGAAGCGUGAACAAGAUACUGAAGAGACUCCUCGCUCAAGGAAGGACAAAGGUCUGGAUGGAAGUCUAGUUGGUUCAAGGAUCAAAGUAUGGUGGCCAGACGAUGAGAUGUUUUACAAGGGUGUUGUUGACUCAUUUGAUACCCAUUCCAAAAGGCACAAGGUUGCAUAUGAUGAUGGAGAUGUAGAGGUACUGCUGCUUAGGGAUGAAAAAUGGGAUUUCAUCAGUGAGGAAGAAGGCAAAACUCCUGAUGUACCAUCUGAGCGCCGUGGCCGAAAAGGGAGAGGAAUCACGCUGCUGCCAGUGAAGGAAGAAAAAAUAGAAACACCUAAAAGUGACGGAGUGGAGCUUCCAAAGAAAAGGGGCCGUCCGAAAGGUUGGCGCCCCAACAAUGGUGGCACACCGUCUACAACUCCCAGCAAAUCAAAGGGGAAAACUGCUGUCAAGGAUGCCAAGGGGACACCUAAAACUGCUGUUGAGAUUAAGAAAGAAGGCAAGGAGAAAGCCACUGGAUCAGCUAACAAGACGAAGGAUGAUUUAGCUAAAGACAGCAGCAACCAGAAGCUGAAGGAGGUUGGGAGCAAAUCUGGCGAUGGAUCUGUGAAGGGUAGGCCUGGGCGGAAACCAAAAAGCGCUGCCACUAGUACUCCAGUGGCGGGUAGUGGAUCUGGAUCUGUUCAAGAGAAGCGGAAGGAGAAGGAGGAGAAGGAAGAGGCUGAGGCAUCUGAAAUGGAGCAGGAGGCAUCUGGCAAGGGGGCGUCUUCAACUGGAAAGAAGCGCAGAAGGAAGGCUUAG
rnacentral:rRNA from 1 species